rnacentral:tRNA from 2 species
GGGCCGGUAGCUCAGUUGGUUAGAGCAGUCGACUCAUAAUCGACGGGUCACAGGUUCGAAUCCUGUCCGGCCCA